rnacentral:rRNA from 1 species
GAUGAACGCUGGCGGCGUGCCUAAUACAUGCAAGUCGAGCGAACGGACGAGAAGCUUGCUUCUCUGAUGUUAGCGGCGGACGGGUGAGUAACACGUGGAUAACCUACCUGUAAGACUGAGAUAACUUCGGGAAACCGGGGCUAAUACCGGAUAAUAUUUUGAACCGCAUGGUUCAAAAGUGAAAGACGGUCUUGCUGUCACUUAUAGAUGGAUCCGCGCUGCAUUAGCUAGUUGGUAAGGUAACGGCUUACCAAGGCAACGAUGCAUAGCCGACCUGAGAGGGUGAUCGGCCACACUGGAACUGAGACACGGUCCAGACUCCUACGGGAGGCAGCAGUAGGGAAUCUUCCGCAAUGGGCGAAAGCCUGACGGAGCAACGCCGCGUGAGUGAUGAAGGUCUUCGGAUCGUAAAACUCUGUUAUUAGGGAAGAACAUAUGUGUAAGUAACUGUGCACAUCUUGACGGUACCUAAUCAGAAAGCCACGGCUAACUACGUG